rnacentral:rRNA from 1 species
CAGUCGCCGCGGUAAUACGAAGGGGGCUAGCGUUGCUCGGAAUCACUGGGCGUAAAGCGCACGUAGGCGGAUCGUUAAGUCAGGGGUGAAAGCCUGGAGCUCAACUCCAGAACUGCCUUUGAUACUGGCGAUCUCGAGUCCGGAAGAGGUGAGUGGAACUGCGAGUGUAGAGGUGAAAUUCGUAGAUAUUCGCAAGAACACCAGUGGCGAAGGCGGCUCACUGGUCCGGUACUGACGCUGAGGUGCGAAAGCGUGGGGAGCAAACAGGAUUAGAUACCCCGGUAGUCCCUGUCUCUUAUAA